CUGGGCGUAAAGAGCUCGUAGGUGGUUUGUCGCGUUGUUCGUGAAAUCUCACGGCUUAACUGUGAGCGUGCGGGCGAUACGGGCAGACUAGAGUACUGCAGGGGAGACUGGAAUUCCUGGUGUAGCGGUGGAAUGCGCAGAUAUCAGGAGGAACACCGGUGGCGAAGGCGGGUCUCUGGGCAGUAACUGACGCUGAGGAGCGAAAGCGUGGGGAGCGAACAGGAGUAGAUACCCUGGUAGUCCACGCCGUAAACGGUGGGUACUAGGUGUGGGUUUCCUUCCUUGGGAUCCGUGCCGUAGCUAACGCAUUAAGUACCCCGCCUGGGGAGUACGGCCGCAAGGCUAAAACUCAAAGGAAUUGACGGGGGCCCGCACAAGCGGCGGAGCAUGUGGAUUAAUUCGAUGCAACGCGAAGAACCUUACCUGGGUUUGACAUGCACAGGACGCGUCUAGAGAUAGGCGUUCCCUUGUGGCCUGUGUGCAGGUGGUGCAUGGCUGUCGUCAGCUCGUGUCGUGAGAUGUUGGGUUAAGUCCCGCAACGAGCGCAACCCUUGUCUCAUGUUGCCAGCGGGUAAUGCCGGGGACUCGUGAGAGACUGCCGGGGUCAACUCGGAGGAAGGUGGGGAUGACGUCAAGUCAUCAUGCCCCUUAUGUCCAGGGCUUCACACAUGCUACAAUGGCCGGUACAAAGGGCUGCGAUGCCGUAAGGUUAAGCGAAUCCUUUUAAAGCCGGUCUCAGUUCGGAUUGGGGUCUGCAACUCGACCCCAUGAAGUCGGAGUCGCUAGUAAUCGCA
rnacentral:rRNA from 1 species